UACGGAGGGUGCGAGCGUUGUCCGGAAUCACUGGGCGUAAAGGGCGCGUAGGUGGCGCGGGCAGUCAACGGUGAAAGUUCGGGGCUCAACCCUGAAUCGGCCGUCGAUACUCCCGGGCUUGAGCACUGUAGAGGCAGAUGGAAUUCCGGGAGUAGCGGUGAAAUGCGUAGAGACCCGGAGGAACACCAGUGGCGAAGGCGGCUUCCUGGUCUGCAACUGACGCUGUGGCGCGAAAGCUAGGGGAGCAAACGGG
rnacentral:rRNA from 1 species